GUGCUCGCUUCAGCAGCACAUGUACAAAACCGGAACCAUACAGAGAAGACUAGAAUGGCUCCUGCACAAGGAUGACAGACACACACAUUUAUGAAGUGUCCCAUUUUA